AUUGAACGGGGGCGGCAGGGCGUACACAUGCAAGUCGAACGGUAACAGGUCUUCGGAUGCUGACGAGUGGCGAACGGGUGAGUAAUACAUCGGAACGUGCCCAGACGUGGGGGAUAACGAGGCGAAAGCUUUGCUAAUACCGCAUACGAUCUAAGGAUGAAAGCAGGGGACCGCAAGGCCUUGUGCGUUUGUAGCGGCCGAUGGCAGAUUAGGUAGUUGGUGGGAUAAAAGCUUACCAAGCCGACGAUCUGUAGCUGGUCUGAGAGGACGACCAGCCACACUGGGACUGAGACACGGCCCAGACUCCUACGGGAGGCAGCAGUGGGGAAUUUUGGACAAUGGGCGAAAGCCUGAUCCAGCAAUGCCGCGUGCAGGAUGAAGGCCUUCGGGUUGUAAACUGCUUUUGUACGGAACGAAAAGGCUCUGGCUAAUACCUGGGGCACAUGACGGUACCGUAAGAAUAAGCACCGGCUAACUACGUG
rnacentral:rRNA from 1 species